GUUUGACAUUUUAAUUUUAAUUUCCCUAGUGACUAACGAUGAUCUUUUCAUGUACAUACUGACCACUCAUACACCUUCAUUGGUGAAGGGGCUGUUCAAGUUAUUUGUCAUUUUCUUAUUGGGUUAUUUUUCUUACUAUGCAGUUUUAAGAGUUCUUCAUGUAUUCUAGAUUCAUUUACUUUUUCUGAUGAUGGAACACACAGCAGUGUGUUCUGAAUAUUUUUCAGAGGAAAUUUUCAAGAAGGUAUUUGCUUGGAAACUACUCAAACACACUAAUCUACAAAUUCAAGAAGCCAGAUGUAUAGUAAAUAGAAAUCCUUACUCAGUAACAUUAUAAAGAAACUGUAGAGUAAUGGAUAGAGAAGAUCUCUUUGAAGAGGGUUUGUCCCAUGACUCAGCUUUUUUGUAUUCCUCUUCUCUAGUUUCUAUUUCAUUUAUCGUCUCCUCCAGCAUAUCCAAGCUGCUUUUAAAUCCCUCCAUUGUAUGUUUCAUUUCAGUUAUGGAAUUUCUUAAUGAUUGAAUCUCUGACUUAAAUUCAUUCCUGAGUUCUUGAAUAUUUUUCUGUACCUUCAUGAGCAGCAUGGUUAUGAUUUUAUUUUGAACUCUCUCUCAGGCAGAUUGGUGAGUUUAGGUUCAUUUGGUCCUUUUUCUGGGGUUUGUGAGAUUUUGGUCUGAACCAUGUUUUUUUGAUGUUUCAUAUUUAUGUGUGGUGCCCACUAGUGCCCAGAAGCUCCAGUCUCUGGAGCUGCUCAGCACCUAGAGUGAGAUUGGAGGACGUAGGGGAGCAGAGCUGGUGCCUGGGGGGAGGAAAGAUCUGUUUCCUGAUUCCCCUCUGCGGUGCCUGUCUCCAGUAUCAGAGCCAGUGGGCCGAGCACACAGGUGUAAGCCUCUGUGCUCUGCGUCUCUAGCUGUUGUAGGCGGGGUCUCCCUCUGGCUGGCCUGAUGGCAGCGCAGUGACAGCCGGUUUUUGAACCGGUUCCGGUAGGCCAGGAGGAAGGCCCAGCAGGCUGCGUGUCACAGUGGGGGGCCUCGGGGCUGAGCAGCCAGCCAGGAGUAUGGAGCCCUGAAGCUCCUCAAAGUUCCCAAUCUGCUGGGCAGAGUGCAUUCAGACAACCUUGUCCAGCUCUCCCCUCCCCCAGGCAGCAAGCUACAUGUAAACCCCGCCCCUUCAGCAGCCCUCUUGCUGCUCGGAAGCCUCUCAGACUGCCUGCCUUUCCUCUGUCACAGAGCGGCCGGAUGUGGAUCCCGUGCUCCAUGAACGGCCGGAAUGUCUGUCUCUCAAGCACUCCGUGUCUGCUGAGCUCCCCACCCUCCAGAGCACCACACAAGCAGAAGGAAACACAGAGGAAGAUCUUUGAAGUUGGAGAAAUGGGUUCAAAUCCUGGCUCAGCAACUUGUUUACUCCACGAUUGGGAGAAGACUUGAUAUCUCUGUCUCAGUUUCUUCCUCGACAAAGUGUCUUGUAUGUUUGUUGUAAAGACUGAAAGUAAAACUCGGGCAUCAUCAGUA